AUACGGAGGAUGCGAGCGUUAUCCGGAUUUAUUGGGUUUAAAGGGAGCGUAGGUGGGAUAUUAAGUCAGCUGUGAAAGUUUGGGGCUCGACCUUAAAAUUGCAGUUGAUACUGGUUUCCUUGAGUACGGUACAGGUGGGCGGAAUUCGUGGUGUAGCGGUGAAAUGCUUAGAUAUCACGAAGAACUCCGAUCGCGAAGGCAGCUCACCGGGCCGGAACUGACACUGAUGCUCGAAAGUGCGGGUAUCAAACAGGAUUAGAUACCCUGGUAGUCCGCACAGUAAACGAUGAAUACUCGCUGUUUGCGAUACACUGUAAGCGGCCAAGCGAAAGCGUUAAGUAUUCCACCUGGGGAGUACGCCGGCAACGGUGAAACUCAAAGGAAUUGACGGGG
rnacentral:rRNA from 1 species